rnacentral:lncRNA from 10 species
CACGGCCUUGUCUUCUGGAGUUGUUGCAAGAUGAAGAAAUUAAGUUUUUGGUAGAGAAGAUAACUUGUCAAAGAUUGCACAGCAAGGACGUAGUUGCCUUAGCUAUCACUACAUAGCAGAGAAUCAUAAUGAUCCGAGGUUUGGCUGCAGCUUGGCUGAUCUAGGCUGGGCUCAGCUGGACUUGGAUCCAGGCCUUCGGUGUGGUUCAGAUCUGAUCUACGUGCAUCUCCUUCUGGGACCAGUGGGCUCCCCAAGGUAUGUACCUAUGACAAUGACAGGAGAGCAAGAAGGCAAGCCCAACCACACAAGCACAUUUCAAGCCUCUGCCGGCAUCACAAUGGCCAACAUCACAUUGGCCAAAGCAGGUUACAUGACUAAGCUCAAAGUUAAAGGGAUGAGAUAGUGCAUUUUGCCCAUUGAGGUUGGGGAGGGAGUGAAUACUUGCUGCUAGUCAAAGGCCUCAUCUUCCACAGUGACAGAGCUAGGGUUAAGACCAUGAUUUUUGUCAUGACAUCAUCCUUCCUCCACUGCCAUAUCCUAGCAUGUGGAGAGUUACCUUGGCUCAAUACAGUCCACAUUUCCAGCCCAUCCUGGCAUGCCUCCUCUAAGUGUGCUGGACCACUCAUAGCAUGUGCUGAGUGUCACGCAGCCUCUGCACUCACAUCUUCAGCCCCAAACCUUCCCCUGGAUCUUGAUCUACUCCUCUCACUGCAGCUUGGGUACAGACAACCCUUUGCCCAGCUCUGCCAUUCUGCAGUCUCCCCACCUCCUGACUCAGCUCUUGAUUUGAGUACAUGCUUCCACCUUUCUAGAUAUGGCCUGAGCUCUUUCAAGAUUCUGGUACCCACCUACCUCCUCCUAUGCACAUGGGAAGCCGAUGUUCCUGGCUUAUCACAGCAAGCUCUCGUGUAUAGUUGUGUAGGAUGUGCACUGCACAAAGGACCCCAGUUGGGGGCAAAACUCAG